rnacentral:lncRNA from 1 species
AGAUCUGGCCUCGGCCGCCACUGGGGAAGAAACCCAGCUUACUUAAAGCUGGAAAGGCAGGGUGACAGCCCCGUCUCCGGACCAAAGGCUAGAGGAAGGAGGAUGGAGGACAAACAGACACGGUCUGGAUAACCUCCAGCUCCCUCCUAAUCUGCAGAUUUACAUUUUACGUAUUUAUUUUUUGUGUGUAUGGGGAGGUGUGUGCCAGUGCCACAGCCUUGGUGUGGAACUGAGACCACCUUGGGAGCCUCGGUUUUCUCCUUCCAUCAUGCGGGUGCCAGGGUGGAACUCGGGCCCACAGGCUUGGUGCCAAAGGCCAUCUUCCAGCUGAACCAUCUCGAAGUCCUUAAUCAUUAAGCAUCUUAAAGUAAGUCCAGAAUCCAGUUUCUUCCCACAAACUCAAUUCAGCUUCGCUAUUUUCUUGGCUUCCUCAGCUGGCUUCUGCCUUCUGCCUCUGACCCUGUCAACAUGUUCCUUGUAGAGAAGUUUUGAGGUGUUUGUCUAGAAUCAAGUCCCAGGGUACCUGUAAUCCAGGCACUGGGGAUGAUGAGCCUGGAGGACCAGAACUUCUGGAAUAGCCUGGACUACACAGUAAGUUUCCAUCUCAACUGGUGCUAGAAAGUGGACCAGCCUAAAAGGGGGGGUGGGGGAGGGGACUGGGGGUUGUAUUUUAGCUGGUAAAGGGAUUCCAUUGUGCAGGAAACCACAGGUAAAACAGAUACCAGUAAUUCAAGGAUUCAGCAUGUGGCCAGCCUUGGCUACAUAGCAAAAUUUUUUUUCAUUUUUUUCAAAGAUGUGUUUUAUGUGUACGAGUGUCUUGCUUCUAUGUAUGUAUUAUGUAUGUGCACCAUACAGGUACCUAUGACUAGUUAUGGACCACCAUGUGGGUGCUGGGAACUGAACCCACGCCUUCUGCAAGAACAAAGUAUUCUUAACCACUGAGCCAUUUAUCCUGCCCCCAAAACUUUUUAUUAUUUUUUUUAAAAAAUAGUUAUUUUAUGAGUGUUUUGCUUGCAUUGCAUGUAUGUCUGUGUACCACUUGUGUGUCCGGUGCCUGAAGAGGUCAGAAGAGGGUGUUGGGUCCCCUGAAAGUGGAGCUGCAAAUGGUUGUGAGUCACCAUGUGGUGCUGAGAAUCAAAUCCCAGUCCUCUGCAAGAACAGAUACGCUUAACGGCUUAGCCACAUUCCCAGCGACCACAGCAAGCUUAGAAGACGAUCAGAAGAAGAGGUACCAUGGGGCUAGUGAGGGGCAGGCCAGGAACUCACCAUGUAGUCUAGCCUGGUGGAAUUUAAAACAGUUCUUCUGCUUGUCUUUUGAGCACUGGCACUACAGGUAUGUUAACCAUGCCUAGCUGCUGUCCCCAAGUUCCCUCUCAAAUUUUAAGUCACUCCCAUCCAUGCCCAAAGAUCUCUUCCUGGGACCAAGGAAGAGAUGAGUAUAGCAGAUAUGUUGAGAAAGGCAGCAUUAAGGAUACAGCCAGAGACUGGAGAGAUGGCUAAGUGGUUAAGAGCACUGACUGCUCUUCCAGAGGACCUGAGUUCAAAUCCCAGCAAAUUUCUUCAUAACCAUUUAACAACCAUCUGUAAUGGGAUCCAAUGCCCUCUUCUGGUGUGUCUGAAGACAUUGACAGUGUACUCAUAUACAUAAAAUAAAUAAUAAAU